AUGACUAGAACAGCGCCAAGUCGUUGCCUCUUUGCACCUGUGAUGUCUUGCGUGGACGCGUUCAAAACUGGAUUUGGAACCUCAAGCGCCAAGUACCGUGAGCCCGAUGAUCUGGGAUGCACCAAGUCCCUCGACGACAAGUACCAAUACGAACGAGAGCGACUACCAUCGGGAUGUACCACUACACGAGGACCGCCAAGUUCGUCUUCCGCCAUCUCCGAAAUCGUCAAGUACCACUAUGAGAUGUGCAACUACUUCCACGACGCAACGAGAACAAGUACCGCCGUUGAAGGCCAUCAAGUGAACAUCUACCCACGACAUGUACGACCUACUCCAUGA
rnacentral:rRNA from 1 species